GACGAACGCUGGCGGCGUGCUUAACACAUGCAAGUCGAACGGUAAGGCCCUUCGGGGUACACGAGUGGCGAACGGGUGAGUAACACGUGGGUGAUCUGCCCUGCACUUCGGGAUAAGCCUGGGAAACUGGGUCUAAUACCGGAUAGGACCACUGCCUGCAUGGGUGGUGGUGGAAAGCUUUUGCGGUGUGGGAUGGGCCCGCGGCCUAUCAGCUUGUUGGUGGGGUGAUGGACUACCAAGGCGACGACGGGUAGCCGGCCUGAGAGGGUGACCGGCCACACUGGGACUGAGAUACGGCCCCGACUCCUACGGGAGGCAGCAGUGGGGAAUAUUGCACAAUGGGCGCAAGCCUGAUGCAGCGACGCCGCGUGAGGGAUGACGGCCUUCGGGUUGUAAACCUCUUUCAGCACCGACGAAGCGCAAGUGACGGUAGGUGCAGAAGAAGGACCGGCCAACUACGUGCCAGCCGCCGCAGUAA
rnacentral:rRNA from 1 species